rnacentral:rRNA from 1 species
AGUGAGCGCUGGCGGUAGGCCUAACACAUGCAAGUCGAACGGCAGCACAGUAAGAGCUUGCUCUUACGGGUGGCGAGUGGCGGACGGGUGAGGAAUACAUCGGAAUCUACUUUUUCGUGGGGGAUAACGUAGGGAAACUUACGCUAAUACCGCAUACGACCUACGGGUGAAAGCAGGGGAUCUUCGGACCUUGCGCGAUUGAAUGAGCCGAUGUCGGAUUAGCUAGUUGGCGGGGUAAAGGCCCACCAAGGCGACGAUCCGUAGCUGGUCUGAGAGGAUGAUCAGCCACACUGGAACUGAGACACGGUCCAGACUCCUACGGGAGGCAGCAGUGGGGAAUAUUGGACAAUGGGCGCAAGCCUGAUCCAGCCAUACCGCGUGGGUGAAGAAGGCCUUCGGGUUGUAAAGCCCUUUUGUUGGGAAAGAAAAGCAGCAGGUUAAUACCCCGCUGUUCUGACGGUACCCAAAGAAUAAGCACCGGCUAACUUC